rnacentral:rRNA from 1 species
CGGCCGCGUCGACUGAUCCUGGCUCAGGAGAACGCUGGCGGCGUGCCUAAUACAUGCAAGUAGAACGCUGAAGAGAGGAGCUUGCUCUUCUUGGAUGAGUUGACGAACGGGUGAGUAACGCGUAGGUAACCUGCCUUGUAGCGGGGGAUAACUAUUGGAAACGAUAGCUAAUACCGCAUAACAAUGGAUGACCCAUGUCAUUUAUUUGAAAGGGGCAAAUGCUCCACUACAAGAUGGACCUGCGUUGUAUUAGCUAGUAGGUGAGGUAACGGCUCACCUAGGCGACGAUACAUAGCCGACCUGAGAGGGUGAUCGGCCACACUGGACUGAGACACCGCCAGACUCCUACGGUCGACGCGGCCG